UAUAUUUAAUCGUCACUUUAGUUACAAAUGUUGCAAGUUUUAAGAUGCUAUCUUGAUACACAAUGCAGCUUUAAUAUGAUUAUUUAAUGAGUAAUCAACUCUUACACCCAUAUCGUGGCAUUACUUUGACAACGCGAAGUUGAAAGAGUAUAACAGUGCAGAGGACAACAACAGAACAAGAUUGACUGCUACACCAACAGACAGUUUGACAAGUGACUCUCACAACUUCUACUGACGAAAACAGGUCCCAAGCACAGGCCAAAAUGUGUGCCAUUUUAUUAGAAUAUAUUUAAUCGUCACUUUUAGUUACAAAUGUUGCAAGUUUUAAGAUGCUAUCUUGAUACACAAUGCAGCUUUAAUAUGAUUAUUUAAUGAGUAAUCAACUCUUACACCCAUAUCGUGGCAUUACUUUGACAACGCGAAGUUGAAAGAGUAUAACAGUGCAGAGGACAACAACAGAACAAGAUUAACUGCUACACCAACAGACAGUUUGACAAGUGACUCUCACAACUUCUACUGACGAAAACAGGUCCCAAGCACAGGCCAAAAUGUGUGCCAUUUUAUUGGAAUAAAGCAUCAAAAUUAUCGACAAGUCUUUCAGUAAAAAGAAACCAAACAUACUGCAAAAACAGGG
rnacentral:lncRNA from 1 species